rnacentral:rRNA from 1 species
UACGUAGGUGGCAAGCGUUACUCGGAAUCACUAGGCGUAAAGCGCAGGUAGGAGGUUUGGUAAGUCUGUUGUGAAAGCUCCCGGCUUAACUGGGAGAGGUCAACGGAAACUACUAGGCUAGAGUGCGGUAGAGGAAGGUGGAAUUCCCGGUGUAGCGGUGAAAUGCGUAGAUAUCGGGAGGAAUACCUAUGGCGAAAGCAGCCUUCUGGACCGUCACUGACUCUGAUCUGCGAAAGCUAGGGGAGCAAACAGG